UACGAAGGGGGCUAGCGUUGCUCGGAAUUACUGGGCGUAAAGGGCGCGUAGGCGGCACUGUUAGUCAGGCGUGAAAGUCCUGGGCUCAACCUGGGAACUGCGCUUGAUACGGCAGAGCUAGAGGAUGGAAGAGGGUCGCGGAAUUCCCAGUGUAGAGGUGAAAUUCGUAGAUAUUGGGAAGAACACCGGUGGCGAAGGCGGCGACCUGGUCCAUUACUGACGCUGAGGCGCGACAGCGUGGGGAACAAACAGG
rnacentral:rRNA from 1 species